GGAUGUGGCUCAGUGGUACAGCACUUGCCUAGCAUGUGUGAGGCCUUGGGUUCAAUCCCAGCACCA
rnacentral:tRNA from 1 species